ACUCAAAUGAAUUGACGGGGACCCGCACAAGCAGUGGAGUAUGUGGUUUAAUUCGAAGCAACGCGAAGAACCUUACCAAGGCUUGACAUCACAGGGAAUGGGGUGGAAACAUCUCAGUCUUCGGACUCUGUGACAGGUGGUGCAUGGUUGUCGUCAGCUCGUGUCGUGAGAUGUUGGGUUAAGUCCCGCAACGAGCGCAACCCCUGUUUUUAGUUGCCAGCGAGUAAAGUCGGGCACUCUAGAGAGACUGCCGGUGACAAAUCGGAGGAAGGUGGGGACGACGUCAAAUCAUCAUGCCCCUUAUGUCUUGGGCUACACACGUACUACAAUGGCUGUUACAACAGGCAGCGAAGGAGCAAUCCGGAGCGAAUCCCCAAAAACAGUCUCAGUUCGGAUUGUGGGCUGCAACCCGCCCGCAUGAAGUCGGAAUUGCUAGUAAUUGCAGGUCAGCAUACUGCAGUGAAUACGUUCCCGGGUCUUGCACACACCGCCCGU
rnacentral:rRNA from 1 species